UGGCGCUUUCGGGUGAGAGUGAGGCCGGGGAGCGACCAUGGCGUCGCUGAAUAGUAGCGCUGUCGUCUGCGUGAUUUGCUUGGAGAAACCCAAAUACCGCUGCCCCGCCUGCCGUGUGCCUUAAGCAGUACAACUCUAAAACUCUUAUUGAGAAAAAAAGAUCAGCUGUUACUGCAAAAACUAUAAAGCCUGCAGAAGACAAAGGUGGAUUGGUUGAUUUCAAACCAGCCAACCUAGGAAAAGGUUUCAGAUGAUGAUGACUCUGUAGAUGAUUUUCUCAAUAGUGAUGAGGAAAAGGACAGUUUCUUUGCAGAAUUUCAAGAAUUUAGGGGAGUCUGCAGCAUUAAGAAGCCUACUGUUCAGGGGCGCCUGGGUGGUUCAGUCGGUUAAGUGGAAUUGCAAGUGCCCCGGUGCAGUGAUGAACCACACCAGUGAGUCGGAUCUAUGAAGGUAGUAAAAUGUGGGAAGUUCUCUGUGGCCCUGAGGUUUCUUAGUCCUGGUUUGGUAACCAACCCAUGACACCUGUCAGGGCUUGAGAUGUAGAUGGGAGCCCCAUGCCACUGGUGGCUGUGGCAGCUCUAGGUUGCAGGCGGGAGCUGUCACUUGUUCACGUGUACUUAAUGUUGCUGUGGGAGUAGUUUGGCAGCUUAGUGUUGAUCGAAUGUCUUUGGCAAGGCAGCUGGCAGGAAAAGGCCUUUUGGACACAAAGGCACUGAAGGAUUGCUCAGCCUAGUGAGGCUAGGAUGUCAGAAUAACUCACAUGUGGCCCAGGCUGUGUCUUUCCAGCAGAAUCUGAUUAAAGCCAGUAACACUGUGGAGUGAAGGUUCAGGGCAGAUGUCAGCAUAAGGCAGUGGAGACUUCCUGCAGUGGAACUUGAUCGAGCCCUAGGGAGAGAGAUACAGCUUACCUCUGGUUCCUAGGAGUGCCAGCUGUACGGGUGCCUAGAGCAAAUGCUAGAAAUGCAGGUAUGGACAAGUACUGGUAUCAUUCAGUUAACGUUCUUUUCUCAUUCUAAACCAGCGGCAAAGUCCAGAGUCCAAAUAUUUAAUUUUAUAUUAAAAUACAGAAUUUCACAUCCAUUCUGUGUGAUGCACAAGGGAGCUCUCCCCUACAAGGAGUAUUUAUUAACUGUCAUACUCGUAAAACUGUUUACAACUGGAAGAGCAAACAGUUACACUUCUGUUUAUACUCUGGCUAGCCUGCAUGCUGUCAUGGGAGAUUUCAUCCAGAUUAUGCCCUAGAGUAAUUCCUCUGGUAUGGAAAUUCACUGUUUCCUUCUGUUUGCCUUGUCAGUGUCACUUAAUCCUUGCUGUGACCCCAUGUAAUAGGAAUGUAAGCCCCAAGAGGCAGAGGCUCACCUUCCUUUUUCACUGAUGCUAGCAACAGUGCCUGGUGCAAAACAGUACACAGAAAGGGAAUGGAUAAAUGAACAAGUGAAAUCUCUUGAGUUCCAGGUUGACUUCUGCAGACCUGCCUCUUUCUCUUCACCUCCACAUCCUGCUCUGGGCUGGGCAGGUCUUGUCACGCCAGAGUCCCAAGCUCCACCCCAACACUGGCCCUGCCCACUGUGGGGCCUGGCCCACUUACCGGAUGGGGAAGCCAGCGGCACUGAUGUGAAUGGUCUCCACAAGGCCACAGGCCUCCAGCUGACUGAGGACCUGCAUUGGUGAGGAGACAGGGUGGGCACCUGUGGUGUGGGACCAGCAGACCAGAAAUACCACUCCUCCUGCCCUCUGAGGCUCUGGUCCGUGUGAACCUGCAGGCUGUCCUCAUGCUUGACUGAUGAGGGUAUACUCUCCUGCUUCUGAUACCGUGGAGUUCUCCUGAGGCUGGAGCUGUUUCAGGGGAGAGGAGGGGCCCUCACAGACAAAACACCAUCUGAGUCUGCCUGGAGAGCUACAGAUGGCUCAGAUGUGGGCACCGAGAACACACAGACACCCUUGCCCAGACACUGGUGGACGAGGAGAUGGGGGUGCAGAGAAGGGAAAAGAGCUGCCUGGAGUUGCACACUGGACUGGACUGUUUUUUCGAAGGAGUGCUCCUAAAAGGGUGAGCCCCUGCUACCUAUGAA